UACGUAGGGGGCAAGCGUUGUCCGGAUUUAUUGGGCGUAAAGAGCUCGUAGGUGGUUCGGUAAGUCGGAUGUGAAAUCUCCAGGCUCAACCUGGAGGGGUCAUUCGAUACUGCCGUGACUAGAGUUCGGUAGGGGAGUGUGGAAUUCCUGGUGUAGCGGUGGAAUGCGCAGAUAUCAGGAGGAACACCAAUAGCGAAGGCAGCUCGCUGGGACGUACUGACACUGAGGCGCGAAAGCGUGGGGAGCGAACAGG
rnacentral:rRNA from 1 species